rnacentral:rRNA from 1 species
UACGUAGGCGGGAAAUUAAGUCAGUAGUGAAAUCCCACAGCUUAACUGUGGAACUGUUAUUGAUACUGGUUUUCUUGAAUAUAGUUGAGGUAGGCGGAAUGUGUAAUGUAGCGGUGAAAUGCUUAGAUACUACACAGAACACCGAUUGCGAAGGCAGCUUACUAAGCUAUGAUUGACGCUGAGGUACGAAAGCGUGGGGAGCGAACAGGAUUAGAUACCCUGGUAGUCC